GGUUUGGGGUUUUUUUAAUGUUGAGCCAACCUUACGGGAAAAUGGUCAUUUCCAGUAUGCAGUGGAGCUGAGAAGGGGACAGGACAGAGCCCAGUGGAGCGCAGCAGGGCAGACAGCUCGAAGCAGACCACGCUUUUGGCACCGAGGAGCAGCCGUCGGCUCCAGAGCUGCUGCCGGGAUGGAGUGGGGCCCACCGAGGGCUCUGCCCCAGAGCCGUGCCCAGGGGGAUCCUGCCUGGAAAGAGCCUCUUCCCUGGGCCGCCUGCAGCGUGGCUGGAAAUCAUCUCGGAGUGCCACAUCCAUCACCCCCAAAUUGUUCGGCAACCUCCAGGACAGCGUGAGCAGGCAGCAGCAUCUGUUCCUCCCCACCGGGGCCGCGAUGAUGGACUGCCAAGGACGGGGCUCCCGCCGAACUUCUCGCCGCCUGCGAGCCAAGGUGCUGAGGAAAGUUGUAACCUCCCCAGGUCAGCGAAGCCUCCUCGCUUGACAUCAACCCCAACGAGCAUCUGUGUCCUCCUUGAGACCCUCCCAGAAGAUGGAACAAGGACGGCACCGAAGGAUUUAACUCCAGUGGACUCUCCGUACCUCUGGUCACACAGCCAAUUUAUUCUUCCGCAGUACGGCGCUGUCCCUGUGGGCCAAUUAGGCAGAGAUACCACCUUCUGAAAGCAGCACAUGAUGGAGCCACAUGUCUUUGCUGCAAUCAAGGCAAGUCAUCACUUCUGCUGUUUAUUUCUGAUCUUCCCCAUGGAUUUCCUGGGAGGGUUUUGCCCUGUGAAUUAUAUUUU
rnacentral:lncRNA from 1 species